GACGAACGCUGGCGGCGUGCUUAACACAUGCAAGUCGAACGGAAAGGCCCUGCUUGCAGGGUACUCGAGUGGCGAACGGGUGAGUAACACGUGUGUGAUCUGCCCUGCACUUCGGGAUAAGCCGGGGAAACUUGGUCUAAUACCGGAUAGGAGCCAUUUUUAUUGUGAUGGUUGGAAAGUUUUUUCGGUGUAGGAUGAGCUCGCGGCCUAUCAGCUUGUUGGUGGGGUAAUGGCCUACCAAGGCGGCGACGGGUAGCCGGCCUGAGAGGGUGGACGGCCACAUUGGGACUGAGAUACGGCCCAGACUCCUACGGGAGGCAGCAGUGGGGAAUAUUGCACAAUGGGCGCAAGCCUGAUGCAGCGACGCCGCGUGGGGGAUGACGGCCUUCGGGUUGUAAACUCCUUUCGAUAGGGACGAAGCUUUUUGUGACGGUACCUAGAUAAGAAGCACCGGCUAACUACGUG
rnacentral:rRNA from 1 species